GGAGAGGUCGCAUAGUGGUCUAGUGCGCCGCCCUGGAAAGGCGGUUUACUCGCAAGGGUAUCGAGGGUUCGAAUCCCUCCCUCUCCG
rfam:Parcubacteria (Yanofskybacteria) bacterium GW2011_GWE2_40_11 TT75_C0002, whole genome shotgun sequence.